CAGUGCGGUAACAAAAUCGACAUCGGCGAGAGUUCUCUUUUCUUUAUUAGGAGUGCAUCCACUCCCUCGAAUCGGCUUGUCCGGAGAUAGAGGGCUAGCCUUCGUAAAGCACCACCCUUUUUGUGCCGUCCGGAAUGCUCUUGUCGACCCUUGAAAAUCCGAGCGAGACAGUAUAAUUUUCGUGGCAAACCGUACCCAUAUCCGCAGCAGGCCUCCAAGGUGAACAGCCUCUGGCAAUCGAACAAUGUAGGUAAGAGAAGUCGGUGACAUGGAUCCUUAACUUCGAGAGAAGAAUUGGCUCUGGGGGUCGAGCCAGACAGACUGAGAUCAGAUACGUAUCGGUCCAGUUAGGGGCUGCUUUCUUUGCUGCUUUGUGUGCUUCGGUGCGCAUUGUGGUGAGGUUACUGGACUCUGACCCGGGUCGAUCGUGGGCGGUUUUCAGCUGUUAGUGUCGUGCAGCUAGCAACGCGCGAGGACAUGUUCCACGUUGCGUCAAGCGGCUGUACUUCCAUGG
rnacentral:ncRNA from 1 species